UACGGAAGGCAGCAGUGGGGAAUAUUGCACAAUGGGCGCAAGCCUGAUGCAGCCAUGCCGCGUGUAUGAAGAAGGCCUUCGGGUUGUAAAGUACUUUCAGUCGUGAGGAAGGUGUUAAGGUUAAUAACCUUAGCAAUUGACGUUAGCGACAGAAGAAGCACCGGCUAACUCCGUGCCAGCAGCCGCGGUAAUACGGAGGGUGCGAGCGUUAAUCGGAAUUACUGGGCGUAAAGGGCACGCAGGCGGUUAAUAAGUUGGAUGUGAAAUCCCCGGGCUUAACCUGGGAAUGGCAUUCAAGACUGGUUAGCUAGAGUCUUGUAGAGGGGGUAGAAUUCCAUGUGUAGCGGUGAAAUGCGUAGAGAUGUGGAGGAAUACCGGUGCGAAGGCGGCCCCUGGACAAAGACUGACGCUCAUGUGCGAAAGCGUGGGGAGCAAACAGGGAUUAGAUACC
rnacentral:rRNA from 1 species